rnacentral:lncRNA from 1 species
CAACGAUCUUUAUAAAGUUGUUUGAAGCGUCUAUGAUGAACAGAGACCGGAUGACAAGGAAGAGAAGUUGACCUCCCUGGGAUGUCGUCACUUCAUUAUUGGCUGCACCUGCAUAAUCAUGUGAUGCGAUACAUUUUUCAAAGACGUUUUUCAAGACACAGGAGAGGUCGGGUUGAAACAUUACUGAUGUUUCACGUUAAAAAUGGCUCUAAAGAUUAAUGCUAAACAACGUUUGACAUGUUUGAACGAACGUAAAUAGAUGAUUUUUUUUACUUUUCGCCGUGACUCCCCCCCCCCCGCGCUACUUUUUAGUAGCCUACCGAAGCGCUAACAACUUGGAGUUAUUGGGACAUCAAUUAUGAACUUUGUUGAAAGAAACCACAUUUGCAGUGGACCUGGGAUGCCUGGAAUUGCCAAUGGAUGAAGAUAAUCAAAGGUACUGGGGCUUGCAUCCUGAAUGACACCACACUAUUCCCCUAUGUAGUGCACUACUUUUGACCAGGAUCCAUAGGGCAGUAUAUAGUAAAUAGGAAGUCAUUUCAGGAACAGCCUAGGUCUGUCUGCAUGGUGGAACAGCCAUUACCUGACUUCUCCUGGAUCCUGUCCUUCCAUGAAACGGAGCCACUCACUAAGUGCUGCUGUUUUCUGGGUAAGAGGUUGUUAUAUAUCAUUCCCAGUCAACCGUUGUAGCAUGUCAGGGGUGGCAUAUGCACUACCUCUCACUACCGCUUCAAUCAGAACAGAUGGAGUGAUGGAAUAGAUGAGUAG